rnacentral:rRNA from 1 species
GAUGAACGCUGGCGGCGUGCCUAAUACAUGCAAGUCGAGCGAACAGACGAGGAGCUUGCUCCUUUGACGUUAGCGGCGGACGGGUGAGUAACACGUAGUUAACCUACCUAUAAGACUGGGAUAACUUCGGGAACCCGGCGCUAAUACCGGAUAAUAUUUCGAACCGCAUGGUUCGAUAGUGAAAGAUGGCUUUGCUAUUACUUAUAGAUGGACCUGCGCCGUAUUAGCUAGUUGGUAAGGUAACGGUUUCCCAAGGCAACGAUACGUAGCCGACCUGAGAGGGUGAGCAGCCACACUGGAACUGAGACAAGGUCCAGACUCCGACGGGAGGCAGCAGUAGUGAAACUUACGCAAUGGGCGAAAGCCUGACGGAGCAACGCCGCGUGAGUGAUGAAGGUCUUCGGAUCGUAAAAAUCUGUUAUUAGGGAAGAACAAACGUGUAAGUAACUGUGCACGUCUUGACGGUACCUAAUCAGAAAGCCACGGCUAACUACGUG